rnacentral:lncRNA from 1 species
ACUGAGGUAUCGUGCCUGCUUCCAUCACAAUGGGCUCUUUGUCUCCAUUCUUUGAAAAUGUCCCAUUGACCAGACUUCUUGGAAAAGGGGAAUCAUUUUGAGUCUGCUCUGAGAGGCAGAAAGAGAUGCCAGAUUCAUCAGGAGUAGACUCGAGAGAGAGAGAAAACAGACAGUGUAUGAUACUCUUCAGUGAACUUUUGCAAUGGAUUGUGCUGAAGUUCCUGAAUUGAUCCUGCCGUCUCCACAAAAAAGGAUGAGUACAGUAGAACUGCUGAAGCCUCAGGAACAGAAAAAGUUGUUGUUUAUGACAGGAAGACAGCGGUGACCACAGUCUGUAUUUGUAUCAUAUCACCUAGGAGGUCUAUUUGUGGACUGACAGCUUGGUAUACUGGAUGCAGUAGAAAUGCAGCAGAAGAACAGCCCUGUGACUUGGAGAGUUUACAGUCAAGGAGAAAGAUCAGAUCAACAGAAAAGACUUCGGGGGAGAGCCACUGAUACAUGGGAAUCUCAUUGACGUUAGGGGACGUCCCACACCUAAUUUUCCCUCCAUAACUUUCAUUCUGGAUUCUAUCCUCAUGUCCACUGAAGUAUUAUUGCAUGAUAUAACGUCUUUACAUGGUGCACAAUACAUUUAUAAAAAGAACAAGACCUACAGUGGUAUACUGUGUGCUCUGUAAAGCCUUUUUUGCCUGUUGCUAAGGGAAGAGGAUGCUCAAUGCUGAACAGUUGUAAAAUAAGUUAGUUUCACACACGCAUUUCUGCAGAAAUAAAUCAGCCACUGGAGAAUCA